UUGAUGUAAACUAUAAUUACAGCCAUACAGAGAAAUGCUCAGACAAGUGAUAACAUUUUUUUUUUCUUUUUUGGCUGCACCCUGGGCAAUUGAAAGUUGUGCAAGUUCCCAGGCCAGGGACUGAGUCUGCGCCACAGAAGCAGCCGCUGCAGUGAAAAUGUGGGUCCUUAACCCACUGCACCACAAGAGAAGGAGCCAGAGAUACAGUGUGACCGUAUCCUGAGGUGCAGGCAGCGGGAAUGAAUCCGACGAGGAAACAUGAGUUUGCAGGAGCUGGGGCCCCAAGGAUGACCAAAACCCAGGUCCUGUCCUCAAAGAGCCCACAUUGGGAGUCAAGUGCCAGGCAAACCUUCCCUUCCUUAAUAAAGGUCAGCAUGAGCAGAGAACGUCACUCAUCCCCCAUGCAGCCAUCUGCCCUAUUAGAGGAACUACCGAGGCCAUUGCACAAGCUCAGCAUUUGAUCUCAUCAGCCUCUCUUUCUUCUCAUUAAUUUGGUGUAUGGCACAGGAGUAGGGCUGCCAGAUUUAGCAAGAACCCAAAACAGGAUGUGGGGUUAAAUUUGAA